AGAAUGAAGAACUCACCUUUAACACGGUGUGUUCUGAAGACAACCUCACCAGACUCAGGAAGGCGAACUCAGAGCUGAGGGCUGAAAUCAAGAAAACCCUCGUCGCAUUGAUGCUGAGAGACAGAGACGUCGCAAAGAAGGACGUUCUUCUGGAUAAGAUGAGAAGCGCUCAUGUGGGGAAUCAUAACAUGAUCGAGGGUCUGCAGUCAGAGCUGCAGAGGCUACAGGAACAUUCGCACCAAAUUCUUUUGAGGUA